rnacentral:rRNA from 1 species
CCUACGGGAGGCAGCAGUGAGGAAUAUUGGUCAAUGGCCGGAAGGCUGAACCAGCCAAGCCGCGUGAGGGAGGAAGGCGCAGAGCGUCGCAGACCUCUUUUGCCGGGGGACAAAAGGCCGGACUCGUCCGGUCCUGAGGGUACCCGGAGAAAAAGCAUCGGCUAACUCCGUGCCAGCAGCCGCGGUAAUACGGAGGAUGCGAGCGUUAUCCGGAUUCAUUGGGUGUAAAGGGAGCGUAGACGGCCAGACAAGUCAGAAGUGAAAGCCCAGGGCUCAACCCUGGGACUGCUUUUGAAACUGCCGGGCUGGAGUGCAGGAGAGGUAAGCGGAAUUCCUAGUGUAGCGGUGAAAUGCGUAGAUAUUAGGAGGAACACCAGUGGCGAAGGCGGCUUACUGGACUGUAACUGACGUUGAGGCUCGAAAGCGUGGGGAGCAAACAGGAUUAGAUACCCCAGUAGUC